rnacentral:tRNA from 1 species
GGUGAGAUGUCCGAGAGGCUUAAGGAGCACGCCUGGAAAGUGUGUAUACGUUAUAAUUCGUAUCAAGGGUUCGAAUCCCUUUCUCACCA